rnacentral:rRNA from 1 species
AUUGAACGCUGGCGGCAUGCCUUACACAUGCAAGUCGAACGGCAGCGGACCUUCGGGUGCCGGCGAGUGGCGAACGGGUGAGUAAUGCAUCGGAACGUGCCAUUGAGUGGGGGGAUAACGUAGCGAAAGUUGCGCUAAUACCGCAUAUUCUGUGAGCAGGAAAGCAGGGGACCGCAAGGCCUUGCGCUCUUUGAGCGGCCGAUGUCAGAUUAGCUAGUUGGUGAGGUAACGGCUUACCAAGGCGACGAUCUGUAGCGGGUCUGAGAGGAUGAUCCGCCACACUGGAACUGAGACACGGUCCAGACUCCUACGGGAGGCAGCAGUGGGGAAUUUUGGACAAUGGGGCAACCCUGAUCCAGCCAUGCCGCGUGAGUGAAGAAGGCCUUCGGGUUGUAAACUGCUUUGUACGGAACGAACGGUUACGUCUCUAAUACAGGGGCGUAUAGACGGUACCGUAAGAAUAAGC